UACGGAGGGGUCCAGCGUUAUUCAUCGUGAUUUGGCGUAAAGGGUACGUAGGCGGCUUUUUAAACGUUCUUAAAAAUACCAUAAAAAUUUUGUGGGUUUAAGGGUUGAAUGGGGGGGCUGGGAGUAAAGGAGAUGGUGGUGGUAGUUUUAAAGUAGAGGUGAUAUCCGAUGAUAUUAAAGCGACCCCCAACGGCGAAGGCAACCACCAACCCUUGCACUGACGCUGAGGUACGAAGGUGUGGGGAGCGAACGGG
rnacentral:rRNA from 1 species